UGGGGAAUCUUGGACAAUGGGGGCAACCCUGAUCCAGCCAUGCCGCGUGAGUGAUGAAGGCCUUAGGGUCGUAAAGCUCUUUCGCCUGUGAAGAUAAUGACGGUAGCAGGUAAAGAAACCCCGGCUAACUCCGUGCCAGCAGCCGCGGUAAUACGGAGGGGGUUAGCGUUGUUCGGAAUUACUGGGCGUAAAGCGCACGUAGGCGGACCAGAAAGUUGGGGGUGAAAUCCCGGGGGCUCAACCCCGGAACUGCCUCCAAAACUAUUGGUCUAGAGUUCGAGAGAGGUGAGUGGAAUUCCAAGUGUAGAGGUGAAAUUCGUAGAUAUUUGGAGGAACACCAGUGGCGAAGGCGGCUCACUGGCUCGAUACUGACGCUGAGGUGCGAAAGUGUGGGGAGCAAACAGGAUUAGAUACCCUGGGUAGUCCACACCGUAAAACGAUGAAUGCCAGUCGUCGGGUAGCAUGCUAUUCGGUGACACACCUACGGAUUAAGCAUUCCGCCUGGGGAGUACGGUCGCAAGAUUAAAACUCAAAGGAAUUG
rnacentral:rRNA from 1 species